GUGAAUCAUCGAUUUUUGAACGCAAAUUGCACUCUCUUCGGAGAGUAUGCCUGUUUGAGGGUCAGCCUAAAAAAAAAAACCGACAUAGUCGCUUUUUCGCGGUGACAUUCGUCGGAAUUUUUUUCAUUUUAAAACUUUGGUUUUUUUUUUGUUUAAAAUUUUCUUUACGCUUCUCCCAACGUUUUU
rnacentral:misc_RNA from 1 species